AUGCUUCAACAUCACACUUCUGUACUCGUGUCUUGCUCAAUCACAUCUGCAGAACUUCUCGAAAGGCAUCGCAUAUAUCCAAAAAGACAUUAUCAUUAUCAGGGUCACAUUGACCCACCUAGACUAAACUGUGUAGUGAUGUAAAUUGUUACAAUGUGGAGCAUAGGAGUGAUCUCUUCUCUAUCUAAUGGAAUACUGUACUAAUCUCUUUGUAAAGCAAUACAUGCAUACAAAUAUGAUAAUGAGGCCUGGGUGGAAUAAGCAUAUAACUGAGUAUCAUGCUUUAGCCAGAGAAGUGUUUAAAUCACAGGUAGUAGCAGGUAGAGCCAA